UGAUAUCCUUGCUAGGGAAGACUGAUAAUUCAUUUUUCCUCAUGGAAGUGCGAAGAGUACGACAUUCCCGCACUAUGACAGGACAUUAAUGGUAGAAGCCUGAUAUGACUAUCCAGAGGAAGGAGCUCGCAUCCAACCAUUGAACUGAGCUUGGGGUCCCCAAUGGAGAAGGGACUGAAGGCGCUGAGGGGGUUUGCAGUCCCAUGGAGGGAGCAACAGUGUCAACAGAGCUCCUAGGAACUGGAUCACCAACUAAAGAAUACACAUGGAGCGACCCAUG